rnacentral:misc_RNA from 1 species
GAUGAAGAACGCAGCGAAAUGCGAUAAGUAAUGUGAAUUGCAGAAUUCAGUGAAUCAUCGAAUCUUUGAACGCACCUUGCACCCUUUGGUAUUCCGAAGGGUAUGCUCGUUUGAGUGUCAUUGUACUCUCACACUUCCGAUCUUUGGAUUGGGAGCGGUGGACUUGGGUGUUGCUGCUUACUGUGGCUCACCUCAAAUCGAUUCGUGCACCUCUUGGUUGGACAUAGUACGGCGUGAUAAGUGUCUUCGCCGGCACCUCAGUAGAGGGUGGCUGAUCGGGAGCUCUGCUUCAAACCGUCCUCGGACAACAACUGACAACUUGACCUCAAAUCGAGUAGGACUACCCGCUGAACUUAAGCAUAUCAAUAAGCGGAGGA